GCCUACGGGAGGCAGCAGUAGGGAAUCUUCCGCAAUGGACGAAAGUCUGACGGAGCAACGCCGCGUGAGUGAUGAAGGUUUUCGGAUCGUAAAGCUCUGUUGUUAGGGAAGAACAAGUACCGUUCGAAUAGGG
rnacentral:rRNA from 1 species